rnacentral:rRNA from 1 species
UACGGAGGGUGCAAGCGUUAUCCGGAUUUACUGGGUUUAAAGGGUGUGUAGGCGGACUUUUAAGUCAGCGGUGAAAUCUCCGGGCUCAACCCGGAAACUGCCAUUGAUACUAUCUGUCUUGAAUGCCGUGGAGGUAAGCGGAAUAUGUCAUGUAGCGGUGAAAUGCUUAGAUAUGACAUAGAACACCAAUUGCGAAGGCAGCUUACUACACGAAUAUUGACACUGAGGCACGAAAGCGUGGGGAUCAAACAGG